AUGGUUCAGACAAACCAGAAGAAAAAGGAGGAGUCCGAGGCCCUUGUCAACCAGAUGAUGUUGGAGAAAAUGACAUUUGCAGCUGCAAACGCUUCUGUCACUCAGGAGAAGAAUGAGGUUGUACAGAAGAAGAUGCAACUAGAAUUAGAUGUGGCUGAUAUGAAGGAGAAGUACCAGAGGAAGAUGAAAAGAAUGAAAAGAGAGCUUCAGUGCAAGGAGAAGUGGCUACUGAUGUCAGUUAGCUGCAAUGUAACUGUUGUGGCUGUAGUAAUUUGUCUGUUUGCAAUGAAGCUGCUUUCUUAA
rnacentral:rRNA from 1 species